CGGCCUACCAAGGCUGCGAUGCAUAGCCGACCUGAGAGGGUGAUCGGCCACACUGGGACUGAGACACGGCCCAGACUCCUACGGGAGGCAGCAGUAGGGAAUCUUCGGCAAUGGACGCAAGUCUGACCGAGCAACGCCGCGUGAGUGAAGAAGGUUUUCGGAUCGUAAAACUCUGUUGUUAGAGAAGAACAAGGAUGAGAGUGGAAAGUUCACACAGUGACGGUAACUUACCAGAAAGGGACGGCUAACUAC
rnacentral:rRNA from 1 species